GACGAACGCUGGCGGCGUGCCUAAUACAUGCAAGUUGAGCGCUGAAGGUUGGUACUUGUACCGACUGGAUGAGCAGCGAACGGGUGAGUAACGCGUGGGGAAUCUGCCUUUGAGCGGGGGACAACAUUUGGAAACGAAUGCUAAUACCGCAUAAAAACUUUAAACACAAGUUUUAAGUUUGAAAGAUGCAAUUGCAUCACUCAAAGAUGAUCCCGCGUUGUAUUAGCUAGUUGGUGAGGUAAAGGCUCACCAAGGCGAUGAUACAUAGCCGACCUGAGAGGGUGAUCGGCCACAUUGGGACUGAGACACGGCCCAAACGCCUACGGGAGGCAGCAGUAGGGAAUCUUCGGCAAUGGACGAAAGUCUGACCGAGCAACGCCGCGUGAGUGAAGAAGGGUUUCGGAUCGUAAAACUCUGUUGGUAGAGAAGAACGUUGGUGAGAGUGGAAAGCUCAUCAAGUGACGGUAACUACACAGAAAGGGACGGCUAACUACGUG
rnacentral:rRNA from 1 species